UACAGAGGGGGCAAGCGUUGUUCGGAAUUACUGGGCGUAAAGGGCGCGUAGGCGGCCUGUUAAGUCGAACGUGAAAUCCCCGGGCUCAACCCGGGAACUGCGUCCGAUACUGGCAGGCUUGAAUCCGGGAGAGGGAUGCGGAAUUCCAGGUGUAGCGGUGAAAUGCGUAGAUAUCUGGAGGAACACCGGUGGCGAAGGCAGCAUCCUGGACCGGCAUUGACGCUGAGGCGCGAAAGCCAGGGGAGCGAACGGG
rnacentral:rRNA from 1 species